UAUAGGAUGGCGUCGCUAAGAGACGGAAGAUGGCUAGGAGAGGACUAGCAAUAGCUACAAGGGGAAGAGACCACGAGAGACUGCCAGAGGCCAAAGAGAAAGAGUAAAGAUUCUUUGGGGGCCUCUGGUGAACAGACCACAGCUUGGGACACUCCCACUCUGAUUUGGAGAAGCUUGUAGAAAAGCUGAAUUGAAGUCACAAGCAGCAUGAAAGCAGGACAAGCACCCAGCAGAGAUGACACCAAAUGAAGCUCAUGAUGUGUCCCUCAAAUGUGACAUAGACAAAGAAAAUCAUAGAUGAAGGAUAAAAAGUAAACUGCUCUUCCUGGGCACACUUCACCUAGGCGGCAUCUUUGGGGCUUCCAGACCAGCUUUUCAUCCUGAGUGGGUUGAACCCACACAGAUCCAGUCAAAGUCAGUGACUCCACUGUCCUCCCCCACCGGCCCUGCUCCUGCAAUCUGCCUGCUCCCUGCUGGUCCUUCUAUGUCCUGACUGAGAUGGCUGUUCUGUUUGUUUCUAUUGUCUGAGAAAUAAAAUG